ACCCGCUGAACUUAAGCAUAUCAAUAAGCGGAGGAAAAGAAACCAACAGGGAUUGCCCUAGUAACGGCGAGUGAAGCGGCAACAGCUCAAAUUUGAAAUCUGGCCUUCGGGUCCGAGUUGUAAUUUGUAGAGGAUGCUUUUGGUGAGGUACCUUCCGAGUUCCCUGGAACGGGACGCCAUAGAGGGUGAGAGCCCCGUCUGGUUGGAUACCGAUCCUCUGUAAAGCUCCUUCGACGAGUCGAGUAGUUUGGGAAUGCUGCUCUAAAUGGGAGGUAUAUGUCUUCUAAAGCUAAAUAUUGGCCAGAGACCGAUAGCGCACAAGUAGAGUGAUCGAAAGAUGAAAAGCACUUUGAAAAGAGAGUUAAAAAGUACGUGAAAUUGUUGAAAGGGAAGCGCUCAUGACCAGACUUGGGCUUGGUUGAUCAUCCAGGGUUCUCCCUGGUGCACUCUUCCAGCCCAGGCCAGCAUCAGUUCGCUGUGGGGGAUAAAGGCUUCGGGAAUGUGGCUCCUCCGGGAGUGUUAUAGCCCGCUGCGUAAUACCCUGUGGUGGACUGAGGUUCGCGCAUCUGCAAGGAUGCUGGCGUAAUGGUCAUCAGCGACCCGUCUUGAAACACGGACCAAGGAGUCGUCUUCGUAUGCGAGUGUUCGGGUGUUAAACCCCUACGCGUAAUGAAAGUGAACGCAGGUGAGAGCUUCGGCGCAUCAUCGACCGAUCCUGAUGUUCUCGGAUGGAUUUGAGUAAGAGCAUACGGGGCCGGACCCGAAAGAAGGUGAACUAUGCCUGUAUAGGGUGAAGCCAGAGGAAACUCUGGUGGAGGCUCGCAGCGGUUCUGACGUGCAAAUCGAUCGUCAAA
rnacentral:rRNA from 1 species